CAAACAGCAAAGUAAGCUUGGGGCAUCUUAAAAGUGUCACACAAAGGAGUCGAUCGGGCACAGAAGUCUAAGUGCCAGUCGUUGAGAAUGUUGUAUGAUCAUUGUGAGAUGACCUCUACAGAAACAAUAGAUGCGUAUUUCACUCGUCUUAUUGAUCAGGUGAAUAAGAUGAGGUUAUAUGGAGAUACGAUUGAAGAUGGUGCAGUGGUUGAAAAAGUUCUUCGAACUAUGUCGAUGAAGUAUGACCAUGCGGUGGCUUCAAUAACAGAGUCACACAAAAUCGAGCUCUUGUCAAUUGCAUAGCUGAAAGUUAUAAUAGAAAGUCAUAUUGACAGGAUUGAGUCAAAAUCGAAACCACUAGCAGAAGAAGCUUUGAAGAGCCAAGUCACUGUUAAUAUGACUGGCCCUAAUCAAAGAGGUGGAGGAUCUGGUAGAGGUCGUGGAAGAGGACGUGCUAACUCCAAUCAAGGAGGAGGAAGAGGUGGAGGUAAUUAAUACCAAAUUAAACAAGAUCGACACACUCGGGGUUCGCUCCACAUUCUUUGAUUUACACACACAAAUAACAAAUAAAUCAAAUUGCGCUGUUGCCGGGGAAGACAAACGGUAGUUGUUGAUUUGUUUUCAAACUUUGGAAUAAGUUGCUUUAUUUUAUUCCUUUUCACUUUUUGUUUUUUGUUUUACUUUGUUGUUACUAACCUCCCUUGCAAACUACUUUUAGUUUGGGGAGGAAACACUUGUCUUCUUUCACUUAUGUAGGUUGGAUGUAAACGAGAGCUAGAGGCAACCAAGGCAGCCUACUCCCUCUCAAUCUUGAAAUCAAUAGAGCCACAACGAGGAGAAACGCGCAUCCACAACUAAGAGAAGAAAUGGCAUCCACAAGUGCCAACAAUAGAGGAUGUUCCCAAGGAAGGGGAGUAUCUCCACAUACUCCACCCCAUACUCACACCCACCCACCCGGAGUAGGAGUUCAAGUGGGAACUCAAAUCCCACUUGAGCCAACAAAUGAGGAAGAGCCACAUAUUAAUAUUAGAGGGCAUCCAGACACAAUCCGAGUUGAGGAGUUCUUCGAUGAACCAAACGUCCAAAGGGGCCGAACAAUCGUGGAGUAUAUGACUGCGGAUUUCUCCAUGCACAACUCGAUCUACGUUCCCCCCUUUGAGUGCACACUACCGCAAACAACCUAUAUGUGGACUGCGCAAGUACACACACGCGUAAUAGCGUGCAUUCGUCCAAA